CGAGUGGCGAACGGGUGAGUAAUACAUCGGAACGUGCCUAGUAAUGGGGGAUAACUACUCGAAAGAGCGGUUAAUACCGCAUAAGAUGUAUGGAUGAAAGCAGGGGACGUUCGGGCCUUGUGCUACGAGAGCGGCCGAUGUCAGAUUAGGUAGUUGGUGGGGUAAAGGCUUACCAAGCCUAGGAUCUGUAGCUGGUCUGAUAGGAGGAUCAGCCACACUGGGACUGAGACACGGCCCAGACUCCUACGGGAGGCAGCAGUGGGGAAUUUUGGACAAUGGGCGCAAGCAUGAUCCAGCAAUGCCGCGUGCAGGAAGAAGGCCUUCGGGUUGUAAACUGCUUUUGUACGGAACGAAAAGUCUUGGCUUAAUACCACGGGAUCAUGACGGUACCGUAAGAAUAAGCACCGGCUAACUACGUGCCAGCAGCCGCGGUAAUACGUAGGGUGCAAGCGUUUAUCGGAAUUACUGGGCGUAAAGCGUGCGCAGGCGGUUUUGUAAGUCAGAGGUGAAAUCCCCGGGCUCAACCUGGGAACUGCCAUUGUGACUGCAAGGCUGGAGUGCGGCAGAGGGGGAUGGAAUUCCGGGUGUAGCAGUGAAAUGCGUAGAUAUGCGGAGGAACACCGAUGGCG
rnacentral:rRNA from 1 species